AGAAGGGGGAGGGAUGGCGAAUGUCUCCCUUCAGCAGGAGCAGGGGAGGUAGCUGCUGUAUCCCCAGACCUGCUGCCAGGUGUCUGACAAGUGCCUGAAACCCCUGCGUUAGCUCCAUGGCAGUGGACGUACAGCAACCCAUUGUGCUGAUGAGAAGAUCAGGUGUAGAGUGAUUGAGUGACUUGCCUACAGCCAUACAAAAAGUCUGCAUCAUUUCUUAAACCACUGCAGUUAUCAUCUUCCCUUCCUUUGGGAACAGAUGUGGACCAUGGUGUCUUGCUGCAGGCUGGAUUAGCAGUGAAGUACAUCAAUCCUUGGAUGUUGUGUUCCCUGUAUGAAAGGAUGGUAGGAAUGGCUCACAACUGAUCUGCUGGAAGAGAAACUUGGAGAUCUCUGUGAGAACUGAGGGUUACAGCAAAAGCAAUAACACAGGUUUCAUGUCUUAGAGUUUCC
rnacentral:lncRNA from 1 species